GCAAGUCGAGCGGAACGACACUAACAAUCCUUCGGGUGCGUUAAUGGGCGUCGAGCGGCGGACGGGUGAGUAAUGCCUAGGAAAUUGCCUUGAUGUGGGGGAUAACCAUUGGAAACGAUGGCUAAUACCGCAUAAUGCCUACGGGCCAAAGAGGGGGACCUUCGGGCCUCUCGCGUCAAGAUAUGCCUAGGUGGGAUUAGCUAGUUGGUGAGGUAAUGGCUCACCAAGGCGACGAUCCCUAGCUGGUCUGAGAGGAUGAUCAGCCACACUGGAACUGAGACACGGUCCAGACUCCUACGGGAGGCAGCAGUGGGGAAUAUUGCACAAUGGGCGAAAGCCUGAUGCAGCCAUGCCGCGUGUAUGAAGAAGGCCUUCGGGUUGUAAAGUACUUUCAGUUGUGAGGAAGGGGGUAGCGUUAAUAGCGCUAUCUCUUGACGUUAGCAACAGAAGAAGCACCGGCUAACUCCGUGCCAGCAGCCGCGGUAAUACGGAGGGUGCGAGCGUUAAUCGGAAUUACUGGGCGUAAAGCGCAUGCAGGUGGUUCAUUAAGUCAGAUGUGAAAGCCCGGGGCUCAACCUCGGAACUGCAUUUGAAACUGGUGAACUAGAGUACUGUAGAGGGGGGUAGAAUUUCAGGUGUAGCGGUGAAAUGCGUAGAGAUCUGAAGGAAUACCAGUGGCGAAGGCGGCCCCCUGGACAGAUACUGACACUCAGAUGCGAAAGCGUGGGGAGCAAACAGGAUUAGAUACCCUGGUAGUCCACGCCGUAAACGAUGUCUACUUGGAGGUUGUGGCCUUGAGCCGUGGCUUUCGGAGCUAACGCGUUAAGUAGACCGCCUGGGGAGUACGGUCGCAAGAUUAAAACUCAAAAUGAAUUUGACGGGGGCCCGCACAAGCGGUGGAGCAUGUGGUUUAAUUUCGAUGCACGCGAGAACCUUACCUACUCUGACAUCCAGAGAGCAGCGAGACGCAGUGUGCCUUCGGAGCUCUGAGACAGUGCUGCAUGCUGUCGUCAGCUCGUGUUGUGAAUGUGGUUAAGUCCGCAACGAGCGCAUCCAUUUCCUAUUGCCAUGCUAAUAGUCGACUCGACGUAACUGCCGGUGUCAUAC
rnacentral:rRNA from 1 species